rnacentral:rRNA from 1 species
AGUCCGACGAUACAGGGUGAUAGUCCCGUAGUUGACGACGUGUGUUCAGUGAAAUCGAGUAGGGCGGGACACGUGAUAUCCUGUCUGAAUAUGGGGGGACCAUCCUCCAAGGCUAAAUACUACUGACUGACCGAUAGUGAACCAGUACCGUGAGGGAAAGGCGAAAAGAACCCCUGUGAGGGGAGUGAAAUAGAACCUGAAACCGUGUACGUACAAGCAGUAGGAGCAGGCUUUGUCCUGUGACUGCGUACCUUUUGUAUAAUGGGUCAGCGACUUAUAUUCAGUGGCAAGGUUAACCAUCUAGGGGAGCCGUAGGGAAACCGAGUCUUAACUGGGCGUUCAGUCUCUGGAUAUAGACCCGAAACCAGGUGAUCUAGCCAUGGGCAGGUUGAAGGUUGAGUAACAUCAACUGGAGGACCGAACCGACUAAUGUUGAAAAAUUAGCGGAUGACUUGUGGCUAGGGGUGAAAGGCCAAUCAAACCUGGAGAUAGCUGGUUCUCCCCGAAAGCUAUUUAGGUAGCGCCUCGGACGAAUACUACUGGGGGUAGAGCACUGUUAAGGCUAGGGGGUCAUCCCGACUUACCAACCCUUUGCAAACUCCGAAUACCAGUAAGUACUAUCCGGGAGACACACGGCGGGUGCUAACGUCCGUCGUGGAGAGGGAAACAACCCAGACCGCCAGCUAAGGUCCCAAAUUACUACUAAGUGGGAAACGAUGUGGGAAGGCUCAGACAGCCAGGAUGUUGGCUUAGAAGCAGCCAUCAUUUAAAGAAAGCGUAAUAGCUCACUGGUCGAGUCGGCCUGCGCGGAAGAUGUAACGGGGCUAAGUAGUAAACCGAAGCUGCGGCAAUAUACUUUUGUAUAUUGGGUAGGGGAGCGUUCUGUAAGCGGUUGAAGGUGUGUGGUAACGCAUGCUGGACGUAUCAGAAGUGCGAAUGCUGACAUGAGUAACGAUAAAGGGGGUGAAAAACCUCCUCGCCGGAAGACCAAGGGUUCCUGUCCAACGUUAAUCGGGGCAGGGUAAGUCGACCCCUAAGGCGAGGCCGAAAGGCGUAGUCGAUGGGAAACGGGUUAAUAUUCCCGUACUUCUUACAAUUGCGAUGGGGGGACGGAGAAGGCUAGGUGGGCCUGGCGACGGUUGUCCAGGUUCAAGUGCGUAGGCUUAAGAGUUAGGUAAAUCCGGCUCUUUCUAAGGCUGAGACACGACGUCGAGCACCUACGGGUGUGAAGUCAUUGAUGCCAUGCUUCCAGGAAAAGCCUCUAAGCUUCAGAUUGUAAGGAAUCGUACCCCAAACCGACACAGGUGGUCGGGUAGAGAAUACCAAGGCGCUUGAGAGAACUCGGGUGAAGGAACUAGGCAAAAUGGUACCGUAACUUCGGGAGAAGGUACGCUCUUGAUGGUGAAGUCCCUUGCGGAUGGAGCUGACGAGAGUCGCAGAUACCAGGUGGCUGCAACUGUUUAUUAAAAACACAGCACUGUGCAAAAUCGUAAGAUGACGUAUACGGUGUGACGCCUGCCCGGUGCCGGAAGGUUAAUUGAUGGGGUUAGACUUCGGUCGAAGCUCUUGAUCGAAGCCCCGGUAAACGGCGGCCGUAACUAUAACGGUCCUAAGGUAGCGAAAUUCCUUGUCGGGUAAGUUCCGACCUGCACGAAUGGCGUAAUGAUGGCCACGCUGUCUCCACCCGAGACUCAGUGAAAUUGAAAUCGCUGUGAAGAUGCAGUGUACCCGCGGCUAGACGGAAAGACCCCGUGAACCUUUACUACAGCUUGGCACUGAACAUUGACCCUACAUGUGUAGGA